rnacentral:rRNA from 1 species
UAGAUACCCGGGUAGUCCACACCGUAAACGAUGAAUGCCAGACGUCAGCAAGCAUGCUUGUUGGUGUCACACCUAACGGAUUAAGCAUUCCGCCUGGGGAGUACGGUCGCAAGAUUAAAACUCAAAGGAAUUGACGGGGGCCCGCACAAGCGGUGGAGCAUGUGGUUUAAUUCGACGCAACGCGCAGAACCUUACCAACCCUUGACAUACUUGUCGCGGAUUCCAGAGAUGGAUUCCUUCAGUUCGGCUGGACAAUGUACAGGUGCUGCAUGGCCGCCGUCAG